GACGAACCGUCCAAACGUUGUUCGGAAUCACUGGGGCUUAAAGGGCGCGUAGGCGGACUGCCAAGUCCGGGGUGAAAUCUUUCGGCUUAACCGGAAAAGGGCCUUGGAAACUGGCGGUCUCGAGGGAGGUAGGGGCCUGUGGAACUUCGGGUGGAGCGGUGAAAUGCGUUGAUAUCCGAAGGAACGCCGGUGGCGAAAGCGACGGGCUGGAUCUCUUCUGACGCUGAGGCGCGAAAGCCAGGGAGCAAACGGG
rnacentral:rRNA from 1 species